rnacentral:snRNA from 1 species
AUACUCUGGUUUCUCUUCAACUCGUAUAAAUCUUUCGCCUUUUACUAAAGAUUUCCGUGGAGAAGAGAGAGAGGAAGCGUGAGAGAUAUGCCUUUUUAAUGUUAUGCUAAAAUAGAU